rnacentral:rRNA from 1 species
UCGAGGAUCUUCGUCAAUGGGCGAAAGCCUGAACGAGCGAUGCCGCGUGCGAGAAGAAGGCCUUCGGGUUGUAAAUCGCGAAAGAUAGAAGAAAGGCGAAAGUCGGAUUGACUAUCAGUAAGCUCGGGCUAAGUUCGUGCCAGCAGCCGCGGUAAGACGAACCGAGCGAACGUUGUUCGGAAUCACUGGGCUUAAAGGGCGCGUAGGCGGGCAGCCAAGUCCGGGGUGAAAUCCUCCAGCUUAACUGGAGAACUGCCUCGGAUACUGGUUGCCUCGAGGAAGGUAGGGGUGUGUGGAACGUUCAGUGGAGCGGUGAAAUGCAUUGAUAUUGAACGGAACUCCGGUGGCGAAGGCGACACACUGGACCUUUUCUGACGCUGAGGCGCGAAAGCUAGGGGAG